UACGUAGGUGGCAAGCGUUGUCCGGAUUUAUUGGGUUUAAAGGGUGCGUAGGCGGCCCUGUAAGUCAGUGCUGAAAUACCCCCGGCUUAACCGGGGGGGGUGGCAUUGAUACUGCAGGGCUUGAGUACAGAUGAGGUAGGCGGAAUUGACGGUGUAGCGGUGAAAUGCAUAGAUAUCGUCAAGAACACCGAUAGCGAAGGCAGCUUACUGGGCUGUAACUGACGCUGAUGCACGAAAGUGUGGGGAUCAAACAGG
rnacentral:rRNA from 1 species